CGCGCAUGUGCGCUGGCUUCCGAGGGGACCGGCCCUGGUUCUGGAGGCCCUCCCCACCAACGAGCAGUACGCAUGUGUAGCGCCGAAGCUUCCUGUGAAGUGUGCGUGUCUGACGGAUGACGACUCCACAAGGCGCUGUGGCCCUGGCAGCCUCAUGAGGUUGCGGCUCUGCGGGACCACACCGCCGCGGGAGUGCACGGGCCCCAGCGAGUGAAAUCUGCGGCAGCCCCCGCUGGGCCCGCUGUUCCUGCGCGCGCAGAGGAGCGUAGCCUGCCCCUAGGCCGCGUUCCCGUGAGCUCCAUGCCCACAGUGGCCGAGGCCGGCCACAAGCCCACGGUCCCUUCUGCACGGUCCCUGCCGCGCUGGGGCCACCGUGGAGGCCCGGAGGGCCCUGGGAGGAGGGAGGAGGAGCAGAGGCUUUCGGGAGAACCCAGCCCUUCACCGGCCAGGGGAGGCCGCGAUGCAUCGCGACUGGUUGUGAAGAGCCAGGGGAAGAACUUUACCGUGCAGGCGGCUCCAGGACUUGGCUUGUUGUCUGUCUCCCCUAAGAAGAACACAGCUUCUUGAGGGCAGGGCAUUCUCUGUUACUGCAGGCUGUGUCCCCACCACCUGUCCUGUGGCAGCAUCGGCAUAGCUCAGAGCAGGUGCUGAAUAAAUGCUCGUGAACUUUGGAAACUUGUCACCAUGCAGGAUGAGAAAGGGCCAUCCUCUCCCAGAGACGUGCAUUUUCCUGUGUCACGGGGCCAUGCGGUGAUACACAGAAGUCUGGCUUCUGCAGGAGCAGGGAAUCAACUUAAAUGCCCAUAAUAACUGACUGGAUCAAGAAAAUGUAGUUCGUAUGCUCCAUGGAAUACUAUGCGGCUAUAAAAAAGAAGAACACAUCUUAUUCAGAAACAUGGACAGACCUGGAGACCACUAUCCUAAGUGAACUAACUCAGGAACAGAAAAGCAAAUACUGCACAUUGUCACCUGUAAGUGGGAGCUAAAUGAUGAGAACACAUGGACACAAAGAAGGGAACACCAGACACUGGGGCCUACUUGAGGGUGGGGGGUGGGAGGGGGAGAGGAGCAGAAGAGAGAACUAUUGGGGGCCGGGCUCAGUACCUGGGUGAUGAAAUAAUCUCCGUAACAAACCCCCAUGACAUGAGUUUACCUAUGUGAUAAACCUCUACAUGCACCCCUGAACCUAAGAUAAAAGUUAAAAAAAAGGUUUUGUGCUAAGAAAAAGCUUAUUUUUUCAUUCCCCUCCAGCUGUUAACUCACGGGGAGGCCCUCUUUCAGGGAGGCACAGAGGAAAAUUAAGGGCUUCCUAGUGACAAGGCAGUUUGUCAGAAAGUCAUGAGUGAGCACGGCAGGGCUGUGCAGGAAGUGUGUGUUGGACAGUAUGACACACUGGCUUCUCACUCUGCUGCCUCUGAUCAAUAACACGUUUCCAGAAAGCCUUGUUUUCAUGUAUACAAUGGAGUAUAAUUACUGCAAAGGUCCACUGAGACUUUUUUUUUUUUUGAGCCGGAGUCUCGCUCUGUCGCCCAGGCUGGAGUGCGGUGGCGCGAUCUCGGCUCACUGCAAGCUCCGCGUCCCGGGUUCGCGCCAUUCUCCUGCCUCAGCCUCCCGAGUAGCUGGGACCACAGGCGCCCGCCACCGCGCCCGGCUAAUUUUUUGUAUUUUUAGUAGAGACAGGGUUUCACUGUGUUAGCCAGGAUGGUCGCGAUCUCCUGACCUCGUGAUCCGCCCGCCUCGGCCUCCCACGGUGCUGGGAUUACAGGCGUGAGCCACCACGCCCGGCCAAACCAACUUUUUUUUAAAAAGGAAGAUUUCGUUUAAAAGAAACCACCCUGAAGGGUGGAGUGUGGAACUGAGCUUCCGUGACGGUCUUGAGUUUUCCAGGCCCUCUGUGGGUGUCGCCGUUGCCGUGAUAGUCUCACACACGCGGGGGUGUGGAUCUCGUUCGUUUUCAUGUAGAAAACGAGAGCGAAACUGCAGAGAAAAGAAACGUCGGGUGCAUCACGGCCUGACCACGGAUUCCUGUUUCCUGCAACAAGGGGAGUCUCCACUGUGGCCGGUCUGGAAACCGGAAAGGAGAGCGAAGUCACGAUGCUGCUUUUCCACGCUUCGCUGGAGGUUUCUGUGUCCCCGCAGAGCUCGGGAAACAGCCAACGUGGUCGCGCUUUCGGGGGCGGGAGACACGCGAGCAACAGGCCCCUUGCAGAGGGCGAAGGAGCGUGGAACCCGGAAUCACGGUUCACUCGGCCCGAGUGUGACUCCCGUGUGGACGGGCCUGUCCGCCUCGCGCUCUGUUGCUCAACGCGGGGCCGUGUCGUCUGUGAACCACGUGGAUGGAAAACGGACAAUCACCCGCGUCUCGGCUCAUUGCUCUCAUUCCUUGGGAGGCGGAAUUCGUCCGAAUUGCUCCGGGAUGAAGUGACCCGGGCCGGCGAUCCGGAGGGCUGGUGAGCUGGUGGGCGCCCCGCAAGCAGACGCGGCUGUGGGCCGAGCUCUCGGCCUGCACCGGGCACCCCACGUUUUCCCGGAGUGCGAGGUCCCGCUGGCCCUGGAGGCGGAAGACCGCUUUCCUCUCUGCUUUCCUCUCUGCUUUCCUCUCUGUCUCUUGCUCCCUUUCUCCCUCUGUCUUUCCCUCCCUCCCUCCCUCCCUCCCCGCUCCCCACUUUCUCCUUUCCAAUGUCCCUCUAUCCAUCCGUCCUUUUCUCGCUCCAUUCCUCCCUUUCUCUCUGUCUCUGUUCCUCUCCCCAUCUCUAUUUUUCAACAUUAUAUGAUCCCAUUGUGUGUAUCUGUGUGUUAACAUUUUUUUAGCAAUAAAAUUCACUUUCAUUAUGUACAUUGUUAUUUAGACACAUUAUUUAUGUAUGUGCAUUUGUUUAAUAGACAUGAUUUAUUUCAGCGUUAUUCUACAGCAGAGUGUAAGCAUAACUCAUAAGCAGGGUCAACCCAAAAAUUGUGUGACUCGCGUUACUGUGAUUCUUUUAUACUGCAGUGCUCGAGAAUAAAAUCUCUGUAUCUCCAAUUCAUAUCUGUAUAUUACCAUUGAAUUGGCCCCAUUUCCUGUAGUGAUAGAACACUAUUCCCGCACUAUGACAAGAGCUGUGGGCUGUGGGGAGGUCAGGGAUAGGAUGACACGGAAGUGACAAUAAGACAUUCUCUUUUUCACAUUUUUAUUAAAUACAAAUUCCAUAUGAAAGAAAUUUAAAAUUCCAAACAACAUUGUUUAUUUCAUUACAUAAAAUGAAA
rnacentral:lncRNA from 10 species